UACGGAAGGCAGCAGUGGGGAAUAUUGCACAAUGGGCGCAAGCCUGAUGCAGCCAUGCCGCGUGUAUGAAGAAGGCCUUCGGGUUGUAAAGUACUUUCAGUCGUGAGGAAGGUGUUAAGGUUAAUAACCUUAGCAAUUGACGUUAGCGACAGAAGAAGCACCGGCUAACUCCGUGCCAGCAGCCGCGGUAAUACGGAGGGUGCGAGCGUUAAUCGGAAUUACUGGGCGUAAAGGGCACGCAGGCGGUUAAUUAAGUUGGAUGUGAAUCCCCGGGCUUAACCUGGGAAUGGCAUUCAAGACUGGUUAGCUAGAGUCUUGUAGAGAGGGGUAGAAUUCCAUGUGUAGCGGUGAAAUGCGUAGAGAUGUGGAGGAAUACCGGUGGCGAAGGCGGCCCCUGGGACAAAGACUGACGCUCAUGUGCGAAAGCGUGGGGAGCAAACAGGAUUAGGAUACC
rnacentral:rRNA from 1 species